AGGUAAGAAGAUAUAUAGGGCUUAUUGCAAGUCCGGUGAUGAUGACAAUCCUUGCCCUUGGAGGAUAAAUGGCAAGAAACUGGAAGGCAACACAACUAUGAGGUAACCGUUUUAGUCGAUAAACAUGAAUGUGUGUCUAGCAUGAGGAUGAGAACUACAACUCCAAGUUGCAGGUGGGUAGCUAGCAAAGCUAUCCCGAUCCUUAGAGUGGAACCAAAUAUUCGUGCUAAGGAUCUAAAAAAGAGGUUGGACACAGAUCACAAGUGUGACAUUGCAUAUGACACUGUAUGGUGGGGUAAAGAAAGAGCUCUUGAUGUGGUUUAUGGCAAAAGGUCAGGUAGCUUUGAGUUGUUUUUUAGUUGGAAGGCCGAGGUGAUGAAGCGGAGCCCUGGAAGUGUUGCUGAGAUUGAUCUGCUUGAGGUGGAUGGUCAGGUAUAUUUUCACCGAUUUUUUUGUGCUCUUAAACCGUGCAUUGAUGGUUUCUUGGAAGGUUGUAGGCCUCAUUUGAGCAUAGGUGCAACAACACUUAAUGGAAGGUGGAAUGGUCACUUGGCUGUAGCUAUUGGAGUUGAUGAUCACAAUUGGAUGUAUCUAGUUGCUUACGCCUUCAUAGCUUCUGAAACAACAGACAACUGGACUUGGUUCAUGCAACAAUUAAAGAAAGCUAUAGGUGAUCCUCCACUUCUAGCUAUUUGUUCUGAUGCUUGCAAGGGCUUGGAGAAAGCAGUGGGGAGUGUAUUCCCAAAUGCAGAGCAAAGAGAAUGCUUCUAUCACCUUGUCAAAAACUUCUAGAAGAGAUUUAGAGGGUUUGGCCACAUAUAUCCUGCUACAAGGGCUUACACAGAGGAGAUCUUCUAUGAUAAUUUAGCAAAAAUGGUAAGUGAAUCCCCCCAAGCAAUGCAAUGGUUACAUGCUAAUCAUAAGUUCUUAUGGUAUAGGUGUGGUUUCAAUCCAAAAAUAAGUGUGACUACAUAACUAGUAAUAUUGCUGGGACAUUUAAUAACUGGAUCAGAGAUCAUAAGGACUUACCUGUUGCUGACCUUGCUGAUAAGAUUAGAGAAAUGAUCAUGGUAUUGUGGAAUAAGAGAAGAAUCAUUGCAUACAGGCUACCUAAAGGCAGGAUACUCCCAGCUGUUAUGGUUCAGCUAAGAGCAAACACUAGAGGUUUAGGUCACUUACAAAUCGUACCAUUUUCUAAUUGGAGUGCAGAGGUAUGGGACCAUAGCAGCAUUUCUGUGAGGCAUAUUAUCAAGUUACACCAGAGGACAUGUACUUGUCUUGAAUGGAAACACACUAGUAAGCCAUGUCAGCAUGUGUUGGCAUAUAUAACUCGCCAAAGGGGAAUUGACAUAGAACAAUUUGUGCAUGACUACUACUCGGUGAAUAGAUUUAGGGCUGCUUAUGGAAGAGAGAUUGAGCCGAUGACAGAUAAAACACAAUGGCCACAAGUGGACCUACCAUUUUUAGUUGGUGCACCUCUUGCAAAAUUAUCUGCUGGAAGAAUGAAGGGAUGGAUGGAAAGUGGACACAAGAAGAAAGGUUCCAAAGAUAGUAAAUUUACCAAUGAGGGUGAUGGAGCAGCGGGAUGUGACAAUGAUAAUGCUCCAACAAAUGCAAAAGGUAAGAAGAUGAUCAGGGUCCCUAUGACUUGCAAAAAAUGUGGAGAAAAAGGUCACAGGCAAGCUAGUGCCAAGUGCCCACUCAAUGGGACCGCAAAAAAGAGGAAGCGUAGGCUACCAAGGUAGAAUGUUACAAAAGCACCUCCAGAACCUAGCACUCCACGGAGGCCGACUAGAGAAGAAAUUCUACGAGAUAGUCCUGGAAGGGACACAAGAAGCAAGUUAGCAAUGUUAUUAGGAGAGGGACAUCUUCACAAACUGAGAACACUAGCCCCGUGAGGAUGCCUACCCCGGUGCCAGCAAAAAAGAUGUCUCCAAAGAGGAAACUAAAUAUUCGAUGAUGAAUUAUUUUAGUUGUUAUGAGAUGUAAACUCAUGAUUUAUUUCUUAUGACUUUAAUCUCGUUUAGAACUACAUUAUGCUCUUCUGAGAUAAACUUGUUUAUACUACAGACAUGAUUUUAUGAAUAAACUCGUUUGUGUUAAAUUCUUGCUGUUAUAUAUUACUUGUAUUUGUGUUUAAAUCAAUUUAUUGUUAGCUGUACAUGACAGGUAGCAAAUCCAUGUCAGCCAUGGCUACAGCCAGCCAGCUGCCAGCCAUGGCCAUGGCCAGCAGCCAAGGCAUGGCCACGGCCAGCAGCAAAGGCAUAAGCCACGGCCAGCAGCGGGCAGGGGACCAGGCAACAGCAACAUUUUUUAAAGACUUAAGUGCAAAAGAGUCAUUUUACAAACAAAUACAUGUAUUUAGAUGAGAAAAUAGAUUAAAAGAAUCAAAAUUAUAUGUAUUACAAAAUCCAUA